UACGUAGGGGGCAAGCGUUGUCCGGAUUUAUUGGGCGUAAAGAGCGUGUAGGCGGCCAGACAGGUCAGCUGUGAAAACUCGAGGCUCAACCUCGAGACGUCGGUUGAAACCGUCUGGCUAGAGUCCGGAAGAGGAGAGUGGAAUUCCCGGUGUAGCGGUGAAAUGCGCAGAUAUCGGGAGGAACACCUGGGGCGAAAGCGGCGCACUGGACCACAACUGACGCUGAGGCGCGAAAGCUAGGGGAGCAAACAGG
rnacentral:rRNA from 1 species